rnacentral:rRNA from 1 species
GACGACGCUGGCGGCGUGCCUAAUACAUGCAAGUAGAACGAGUUGCGAACGGGUGAGUAAUGUCUGGGAAACUGCCUGCUGGAGGGGGAUAACUACUGGAAACGGUAGAUAAUACCGCAUACCAUCAGAUGUGCCCAGAUGGGAUUAGCUAGUGGGUGGGGUAACGGCGCACCUAGGCGACGAUCCCUAGCUGGUCUGAGAGGAUGACCAGCCACACUGGAACGGAGACACGGUCCAGACUCCUACGGGAGGCAGCAGUGGGGAAUAUUGCACAAUGGGCGCAAGCCUGAUUCAGCCAUGCCGCGUGUAUGAAGAAGGCCUUCGGGUUGUAAAGUACUUUCAGCGGGGAGGCGUUACCCGCAGAAGAAGCACCGGCUAACUCCGUGCCAGCAGCCGCGGUAAUAC